rnacentral:rRNA from 1 species
AUUGAACGCUGGCGGCAUGCUUUACACAUGCAAGCCGAACGGCAGCACGGGCUUCGGCCUGGCGGCGAGUGGCGAACGGGUGAGUAAUGCAUCGGAACGUGCCCAGUAGUGGGGGAUAGCCCGGCGAAAGCCGGAUUAAUACCGCAUACGACCUGAGGGUGAAAGCGGGGGACCGAAAGGCCUCGCGCUAUUGGAGCGGCCGAUGUCGGAUUAGCUAGUUGGUGGGGUAAAGGCUUACCAAGGCGACGAUCCGUAGCUGGUCUGAGAGGACGACCAGCCACACUGGGACUGAGACACGGCCCAGACUCCUACGGGAGGCAGCAGUGGGGAAUUUUGGACAAUGGGGGCAACCCUGAUCCAGCCAUGCCGCGUGCGGGGAGAAGGCCUUCGGGUUGUAAACCGCUUUUGUUCGGGAAGAAAUCCUCUGGGCUAAUACCCCGGGGGGAUGACGGUACCGGAAGAAUAAGCACCGGCUAACUACGUG